rnacentral:rRNA from 1 species
ACGAACGCUGGCGGCGUGCUUAACACAUGCAAGUCGAACGGAAAGGCCCUGCUUGCAGGGUACUCGAGUGGCGAACGGGUGAGUAACACGUGGGUGAUCUGCCCUGCACUUCGGGAUAAGCCUGGGAAACUGGGUCUAAUACCGGAUAGGAGCCAUUUUUAGUGUGAUGGUUGGAAAGUUUUUUCGGUGUAGGAUGAGCUCGCGGCCUAUCAGCUUGUUGUGGGGUAAUGGCCUACCAAGGCGGCGACGGGUAGCCGGCCUGAGAGGGUGGACGGCCACAUUGGGACUGAGAUACGGCGCAGACUCCUACGGGAGGCAGCAGUGGGGAAUAUUGCACAAUGGGCGCAAGCCUGAUGCAGCGACGCCGCGUGGGGGAUGACGGCCUUCGGGUUGUAAACUCCUUUCGCUAGGGACGAAGCUUUUUGUGACGGUACCUAGAUAAGAAGCACCGGCUAACUACGUG